GUGAGGAAUAUUGGUCAAUGGGCGGGAGCCUGAACCAGCCAAGUCGCGUGAAGGAAGAAGGAUCUAUGGUUCGUAAACUUCUUUUGCAGGGGAAUAAAGUGCAGGACGUGUCCUGUUUUGUAUGUACCCUGAGAAUAAGGAUCGGCUAACUCCGUGCCAGCAGCCGCGGUAAUACGGAGGAUCCGAGCGUUAUCCGGAUUUAUUGGGUUUAAAGGGUGCGUAGGUGGUUUGAUAAGUCAGCGGUGAAAGUUUGCAGCUUAACUGUAAAAAUGCGUUGAAACUGUCGGACUUGAGUGUAAAUGAGGUAGGCGGAAUGCGUGGUGUAGCGGUGAAAUGCAUAGAUAUCACGCAGAACUCCGAUUGCGAAGGCAGCUUACUAAGCUACAACUGACACUGAAGCACGAAAGCGUGGGGAUCAAACAGGAUUAGAAACCCGAGUAGUCC
rnacentral:rRNA from 1 species